UUUUCUGCAUGCUGUCUCUCUCUCUCUCUUCCCUCACGACUCUCUCACUCUCUCUGUCACUCUUCUUCUCCGUUCGAACAAAUCAACCAACAAAAACAACCUUAAACUUCCACCAACGACGGAGUUAAGACCACCAUCGAAUUCCUGGAACCUCCACGAUCACGUAGACACCAUUUUCAGGUAAGGAAUCCUUCAUUUUCACGUUGAAAACUCGAGGUCCGAGUUUGGCACUAUUCAUGAACUUUUUGUUGGUUGAUUUUUAGGACAAUCCAAGCUCAUAGUGAGAUUAGUGAGGUCCCAAGGAAGCUCGGAGUGCUUCGUUGGAAGUUUUUGGACGUAAGAACACGGAGAUCGACAAGUUCAAAGUUUGGCCGGACCUUUCAAGGCUUUUUCCGGCGAAUCCCCGGCGCGUUAGGAGUCGAGGUAGGUAUCAAUAUCUUAGUCUAGUCAAGUACUACAACUUUCCUUUUUGUUUCACUCAAUUUCGUUGAGUAUUGAAGAAGUUAUACUCAUUUGAAUCUUACCCAGUUUCCGGCGACCUCCGAGGCUUUCGAGGAAGUUUCCGGCCAAACUACGGCGAAAUAGGUGUUGUGCAAGGUACCAUUCUCUUUGUCUCUUCAAGGGCUACAACUUUAGUUUUUGAAUCACUUGAUUUCGUUGAGAAAUGACAAAGUUAUGGCAAUUUGAAAAACUGCCCAGAAAACGGGCGCCGGAAAAACCAGUCCGGCGACCCAAGGAAGAAGAAGGUGCGCGUGGACCCGUGCCUUCCUUGGCGCGUGGGGGCGCGUGCUACAGUAAAAAAUUAUUUUAAAAAUAUGUCGACGUCCGUGACGUCGAGUAGAUCACUGUGGUAUAUUCAUAUACCCAAAUUGAGCACCGUAUGAGAAAGUUAUUAAGGAUUGUUGGUUAGGUGUUCAAAUAACGUUUUAUAGUUUUUGCAUUUAGGUGAAAAUAUGAAGUGACGAUCCGACUGUUGGAUCGUCACCAAACUCUGAUACGUUGUAAUACGUAAUAUUUGAGGAUUAUAGGAACUUACAGAUUGGGAAUCCGAUUUGCGGAUCUUCCGAAAUUGGAGUUGUAAGUCCAUAAUAUAGAAUGUUAACCGUCACCUAGUUUUGUUAAUUGACGGAGAUCCGACCGUUGGAUGGUAAUGAAAUUUUAGGAGGUUAUCCUAGAGAUAUAUUGUGGACCUCUGGAAGUUAUGGAUUUAAAAUCUGAGUGGUGGAUCUUCCGGAUCGAACUACGUAGUGACGUGUUUUAUAUAAGUUAUAUAUUCUAUCGAUAUGAAUUCUAAGGUUGGAAUUGAUUAUUGUUUUAGGCGCCGAUCGUCAUGACGCCUUGGCGUAUUGUGCUAGGGAGUUGUAGGACGAACUCCAGGUGAGUGGGCAGUUUUGUUUUCCGUAUAUAUAUAUACUUGACGUUUUCCCAGAAAUUGAAAUUUAAUGAAAGUAUGCUUUAAAUGCAAUGUAUAAAAUUAUAUGAAAAGUAUAUUGAAAUGUGAAUUGAGAUGCCAUGCAUAAAAGUAUAUGAAAAGUAUAUAGAAAUGUGAAUCGAAUUGCCAUGCAUGAAAUGAUAUGAAAUGAUAUGAAUUGAGAUAUGAUGCAUAUGAAUGAAUGGUGCGGCGGACGCACAGGUGAGUAUCAAGUGAGUAUUUAAUUACUGUUAUGAUGAUGUUGAUGUAUAUUGAGCUCAAAUCCUGCACCAUGGUUUAGUGCUUAUAGUAUUCACCGCAUCGCACGCUCGCCUUGGAUCCAAGUAGAUGCUGGUCGCACAGUCCACGCGGAGUGGGUGUGACGGGCCAGUCGUAGAGUGUUAGUGAGAUUUCGACUGGUGGGUUACCUUAGAUUAUGUGCACAGAUGAUUGAUGAGAAAGCACUAGAGCGUAACUUGUGUGCAAAAGGCCGUACAGGUCACAGAGGUGACUCCGGCAGAGUGAGAGUGAUAGAUUUUGAGCUCUAGGUUCAACCGUACAGGGCUAUUAGAGGGCCUCCGGUUGAUUUUCUUGCACCUGAUAUGAUUAUUGUUGAUGCAUCCAUAUUUAACUGUUGAAUUAGACAUGGCAUGGCAUGAUUGAUAAAGAAAAAUGUUGAGAUAGUAAAAAUGAAGUUUUGAGAAUAUAUAUGUAUAUUUAUAUUUUACAUUUCUGGGAAAGUAUACAAGUUUUACGGAGAGGGGUUACAACGUUUUGAGAAAUGUUUGGAUUUGGAAAAGAAUUGUUUUACUGACCCACUCAAUUUUGGUUUUGCGCCCCUCCAGGUUAAAGAAUAGCUGAGGUGUGGUGGCUACGAGGAAUUCAGCGGGGUUCUGACAGAAUGGACCAAAUUAGGACGCACCUUCGGGUGUAUUAACUUUGAAGUUGUAUAAUUAAAGCUUCCGUACUGUGCAAAUGGUUACGUCACUCUCACGUGACGGCCAGCAUGCCCUCCUUCGGGACGGGGUGUGUCACCCAUGUUUUGAUACAAUAAAUGUUUUGGUUAAUUUUGAUGAAUGUCCAUGUUUAUAUAUACACACACA
rnacentral:lncRNA from 1 species